AUCUGGACAGCUCCGUUGGUUAGAGCGUGGUGCUGAUAACGCCAAGGUUGCAGGUUCGGUCCCGGCUGCAUAUU